rnacentral:rRNA from 1 species
GACGAACGCUGGCGGCGUGCUUAACACAUGCAAGUCGAACGGAAAGGCCCUGCUUUUGUGGGGUGCUCGAGUGGCGAACGGGUGAGUAACACGUGAGUAACCUGCCCUUGACUUUGGGAUAACUUCAGGAAACUGGGGCUAAUACCGGAUAGGAGCUCCUGCUGCAUGGUGGGGGUUGGAAAGUUUCGGCGGUUGGGGAUGGACUCGCGGCUUAUCAGCUGGUUGGUGGGGUAGUGGCUUACCAAGGCUUUGACGGGUAGCCGGCCUUAGAGGGUGACCGGCCACAUUGGGACUGAGAUACGGCCCAGACUCCUACGGGAGGCAGCAGUGGGGAAUAUUGCACAAUGGGCGGAAGCCUGAUGCAGCAACGCCGCGUGCGUGAUGACGGCCUUCUGGUUGUAAACCGCUUUCGCCUGUGACGAAGCGUGAGUGACGGUAAUGGGUAAAGAAGCACCGGCUAACUACGUG